CAGUAGCCACGGUAAUACGGAAGGUCCGGGCGUUAUCCGGAUUUAUUGGGUUUAAAGGGAGCGUAGGCUGGAGAUUAAGUGUGUUGUGAAAUGUAGACGCUCAACGUCUGACUUGCAGCGCAUACUGGUUUCCUUGAGUACGCACAACGUUGGCGGAAUUCGUCGUGUAGCGGUGAAAUGCUUAGAUAUGACGAAGAACUCCGAUUGCGAAGGCAGCUGACGGGAGCGCAACUGACGCUUAAGCUCGAGGGUGCGGGUAUCAAACAGGAUUAGAUACCCCGGUAGUCCCUGUCUCUUAUAC
rnacentral:rRNA from 1 species